rnacentral:rRNA from 1 species
AGCGAACGCUGGCGGCAGGCCUAACACAUGCAAGUCGAACGAACUCUUCGGAGUUAGUGGCGGACGGGUGAGUAACACGUGGGAACGUGCCUUUUGGUUCGGAAUAACUCAGGGAAACUUGUGCUAAUACCGAAUGUGCCCUUCGGGGGAAAGAUUUAUCGCCAUUAGAGCGGCCCGCGUCUGAUUAGCUAGUUGGUGAGGUAACGGCUCACCAAGGCGACGAUCAGUAGCUGGUCUGAGAGGAUGACCAGCCACACUGGGACUGAGACACGGCCCAGACUCCUACGGGAGGCAGCAGUGGGGAAUCUUGCGCAAUGGGCGAAAGCCUGACGCAGCCAUGCCGGGGGAAUGAUGAAGGUCUUAGGAUUGUAAAAUUCUUUCACCGGGGACGAUAAUGACGGUACCCGGAGAAGAAGCCCCGGCUAACUUCGUG